ACGCGUGGAACCUUACCAGGUCUUGACAUCCCAUUGACCGCUAUGGAGACAUAGCUUUCCCUUCGGGGACAGUGGUGACAGGUGGUGCAUGGUUGUCGUCAGCUCGUGUCGUGAGAUGUUGGGUUAAGUCCCGCAACGAGCGCAACCCUUGUUCUUAGUUGCCAUCAUUUAGUUGGGCACUCUAAGGAGACUGCCGGUGACAAACCGGAGGAAGGUGGGGAUGACGUCAAAUCAUCAUGCCCCUUAUGACCUGGGCUACACACGUGCUACAAUGGAUGGUACAAAGGGCUGCAAGACCGCGAGGUUAAGCGAAUCCCAUAAAACCAUUCUCAGUUCGGAUUGCAGGCUGCAACUCGCCUGCAUGAAGCUGGAAUCGCUAGUAAUCGCGGAUCAGCAUGCCGCGGUGAAUACGUUCCCGGGCCUUGCACUCACCGCCCGU
rnacentral:rRNA from 1 species